AGAGUUUGAUCCUGGCUCAGACUGAACGCUGGCGGCAUGCCUAACACAUGCAAGUCGAACGGCAGCGCGGGGGCAACCCUGGCGGCGAGUGGCGGACGGGUGAGGAAUACAUCGGAAUCUACCCUGUCGUGGGGGAUAACUAGCCGAAAGGUUAGCUAAUACCGCAUACGACCGAGAGGUGAAAGCGGAGGACCGUAACAGGCUUCGCGCGAUUGGAUGAGCCGAUGUCGGAUUAGCUAGUUGGCGGGGUAAAGGCCCACCAAGGCGACGAUCCGUAGCUGGUCUGAGAGGAUGAUCAGCCACACUGGGACUGAGACACGGCCCAGACUCCUACGGGAGGCAGCAGUGGGGAAUAUUGGACAAUGGGCGCAAGCCUGAUCCAGCAAUGCCGCGUGUGUGAAGAAGGCCUUCGGGUUGUAAAGCACUUUUAUCAGGAACGAAAAGUCUUCGGUUAAUACCCGGGGAUGCUGACGGUACCUGAGGAAUAAGCACCGGCUAACUUCGUGCCAGCAGCCGCGGUAAUACGAAGGGUGCAAGCGUUAGUCGGAAUUACUGGGCGUAAAGCGUGCGUAGGUGGUUUCUUAAGUCCGUUGUGAAAGCCCUGGGCUCAACCUGGGAACUGCAGUGGAUACUGAGAGGCUAGAGUGUGUCA
rnacentral:rRNA from 1 species